CUUACCGUAAGAAACGUAAGAACCUGUAGGUUUUAGAUUCUUAAGUUAGGGCCUUACGGAAAUUGAGAGCAGUGAGAGAAUUAGGCUUGCCAGAUUUUCGUUUUCGUAUUUCUUAAAAA